GCCAGGUGCCAGGAUGAAGGCUGCUGCUCUGCUGGUGGUACUGCUGUGCUCAGGUGGAGCCUGGGCCAUAAGAUGCCACAACUGCACGAACGAUAACGGGAACACCUGCUCAGGACCUGUAGACUGCCCCAGCUACGCGAACGCCUGCGCUUCAGAAGUGCUGAAUAUCAAACUGCCAGACCAGACGGUGGCCCGGGCAGCCAAGACCUGUGUGCAAUCGUGCGAGACCCUCAAUCCCAUGCCAUCCCGUGCUUCAUCCAGAGCUUCAGUCAGCGAUCUACAUGUCUCCAUCUACUGUUGCAACACCAACCUGUGUAACCGAGCUGGGGGCCAAGGGCCAGGGGCCACCACCGUGGGCCUGAUGCUUGUGGCCAGUGUCCUUGUCACCCUCUUAGGGGCCUCCCUGUGACCCAGAGGUGCGGGACAUGAGUGAGGCAGCACAACCCAGGACACCCAGACCCCUAAGCCCCUGUCCCCAUCAGGCCGUCUGUGAGCUCGUAAAUUGAGGACAGAGUACAGAGAAGGUGGAGGGCCUGGUGGGGUGGUCACAGAGGACCACGCCCAUUUGCCCCAGAUCUUCAAGGCCAACAGAGGCACCCCACCCCAGCACACCGACGCAGAGAACCUCCUGGAGUCUUUGGCUUUUUCUGGGUAUCCUGCCCGGGGCCUUCAGCCAUCGGUGCCAGACCUAC
rnacentral:lncRNA from 12 species